UACGUAGGGGGCGAGCGUUGUCCGGAUUUAUUGGGCGUAAAGCGCUCGCAGGUGGUCCGAUGCGUCGUGCGUGAAAGACCCCGGCUCAACUGGGGGGCGUCGUGCGAUACGGUCGGACUGGAGGCCAGUAGGGGGAUGCGGAAUUCCGGGUGUAGUGGUGGAAUGCGUAGAUAUCAGGAGGAACACCUGCGGUGUAGACGGCUUACUGGACCAUAACUGACGCUGAGGCACGAAAGCGUGGGUAGCAAACAGG
rnacentral:rRNA from 1 species